CUCCCCCACACCCCCGCCCCCUGCCCUUCCCGAGGGCAGCAGCCGUGGCCCGGAGAUAAGCGCUAGCGCGGCGCAGGGCUCUGCCUGGGCUAGUGGCACCGACUUGGGCAGAAACUCUUAAAAUCCUGGCAGCCAAGAGGGAAGUAACCUGGGGGAAAUGGACACAAGUCCAGGCAGCGAAGUGGGAUGCGCUGGGCUCAGGUACGUACUAGGGUGCCUAGAAACCUGGGUCUCCAGCUUUUCUAUGCCUACUUCAUAGUACAGACGGGCAGCUCACUCACAGGAAAAGACAGAUAAAACUCUGACCCCAACACAAACCGACAUCUAUAAUGUUUUCUUCUCUAAUUAGUGGUAUGCAGGGACACUGAGCAAAGGAAAGGCCUGGGUGUGCCCCCACAACUUUAAGGAGGAUGGUCUUUCUCUCUUCUAAUGCCUCCCUCUACUCUCCAGCGAACUCUGCAAGGGUAUGUGUGUGGCAAAAAGAGAAAUGGAGCUUUCAUGCAAUUCCAAGGUGUCAACGGCCAGUCCUUCUCAAAGGAAGGUGUUAAAAAUAUAAGUAGUAUGUUUAAACUGUCAGGGAGCCAAAGUGUCACCUUAAAGCAAAAACAAAGCCAAGGGAAAAGGGAGAAAUCAAAAAGCACUCCUGGCCAGGGUGGCCUCAUGCAUACCAAUGGUUUUUGUCAUUUAUGGCUGGGCAAGAUUUAUGACUCGGCGCCCCAAAGCUGUAAACAGAGCACAAAACAGCAAACACUUGCUCCUUAUGGCAUAUUGCGGCAGCGCAACUUAAAAGGGGGAGCCGGGCGGCGUAGGAGGUGAGAGCCGCCGCAAAAAUCGCUCGGCUGCAUUUUCUCUUCAAACUGGCCUGGUCGGAUGUGGCAUUUGAAGAAAGAAGGCGUGGGUCAAUAAUCAACCCGCACUUUCUCCUCCAAACUGCUGACACGACUCUCACCGCCUUCUCAGCUAAGCCAGCUGCAGGGAAGGCCAGCUUUCCGUGAGAACCUGCCAGGGGAGGGGACCGCCUGGGCCAAGAGGGCCGAGGGUUCCGAGGUGAGGGCUGGGGCAUCUGGGGCGCAUACCUUUUCACCCGCACCAAGACUGUGCCGGGCAAAAUGCUGGGACUGGACUUGAAGAGCCAUGGGAGUUGAGGGAGAGCUGGGGUGGGAGCUUGGGACAGGGUCUCUGCUGGAUGGUCCCAGACUAGAUGGCUUCCGGGCAGCUGGCUGCAGUGGGCACAAAUCUGGCUCUGACCUCAAGACUGGUCUCACACCCUGGCAUGCAGACCUCCGGGUUUGGGCCUCUCUGCUGAAAUCCACAGGACUGGCUUUUAGAGCAAGGCAGGCGAUGUGAUUAAAGGUAAUAAUUUAUGAUUGCUGAAGGUUCUGUGUUACUGUUUUUUAAGAGAAAAAUACCGCCUGCCGAUUUUCACUGCCAGAAAUUGCCCACUGCUGCGGCUGCGGUGUCUUUUCUAGGCAAAUCCCGCAGCCAUUCACCCUGCUCAGCCAAAACCACUGAGGUUAUCUUUGUGGAAAGGACCCCUUUGCUCCCCCCAACCCCCCUCCUCAGUCCCUGUGCUCCCUUAUGUCUUGCCCACGGGACUAGAAGAAAACAUUUUCCCAGUGCUAGAAAAAUAUCUGAAAUAGCGAAGGUGUGCUUGUGCCUCUCUACCCUUUGCAGGGGCCUCCUUGAGAACAGGUCUGCGGGUUGGGGCGGGGGGGGGGGGCGCUGGGGUCCCUGCAAGGCUGUCUAUAAGCCAGGGAGGAAGGUAAGGCACAAGAGGCACUGAAAUCUGGGAAUGGAGAGGAAAAUUAAUGAGGAAAUACACUUGCCUGUGAGGGUGAGGCUGGCAUUUUGAGGGUAAAAGGGGACUAGCCUGUUUUUUAUAGCUGUAGUUUAGCUAUUAUGGAGUGGCUUUAGCUCCUUGCGUGAAGGAAAAGCCAACUGGUGCUCUAUAAACUGGACUACUGGUUUCUUUUCACUGUGCACACUUUUAUACAGAACCAUUUUGAGAGUCCAUCCCUAGAUAUUUAUUCUGCUGGCUGGCACUGAAGUGACAAUAAAAAGAUGCCUUUAACAAACCUCUAUUCCCUCUCUCAUUCUUUCUAGCGAAACUAUAUUAUUUAUGAGUCUUUAACUGGGUCAAAAAUGCGCCAGAACUGGGUCAUAAAUCAUAUGAAAUGCUGACAAGUAAUUGAACAGCAAUUAAAGCUUACAUUUUAUUUCCAAGGGGUGUUUUAGGGCACUUGAAACCGCCUCAGUUAAACACGGUUAGCGCCCGAGGACGGCGGCGGGGGAGGGUAGAAGCAGCCUUUCCCUUCUGGGGAUGUAAAUCCCUCUCAAGUAGGGGAAACCUGAUUUGAUUUUUUUUUUCAAGUACAGAAAGAAAUAAGAUUUUUUUUUUUGUUUAAGUCACGGAGAAAAUCUGAUUCCCGACUCCUUGUAGACACCCCUUUCCUCCACCCCAAGAUCUCCAAGAGCAGAGAAAAGUGAAGUUUCCUUCACCGUUUCAGGGAGUUUUCAUCCUUCCCAGGAGUGCUGGGUCUCCAAAGUGCAAUUAGCACAGGCUUUCCCAGUAAUUUGCAAGCAUGGUUUAUCUCUCAUCUGCUUCUAUCCUGGCUACAGCACUGUUUCUGGGGUCUGAAGCCGGAGAAAUGUCUGCCUCUGCUUCCUGCGGACUCUGCCUGGAAUUCUCUCUAGCCCAGGGUGCACCAGCCAGUCCUUAAAACUCUGCAAGCCAGCUGGGUGCAUUACAAUGGGGCAUACAGGCCAUGCACAUUAUGAAGCCCAAACCCAGUUCUGGCUCCCGAAAUUUAGACUAACAGAGCUUCUGGGCGUCGGGCACGCUUACCCCUAUCCUAAGCCUCUCCUAGAUCUGAACUGUCUUCACCCCUACCCGGGUAGAGUACUGGGGAAACAAUGGCGCGUCCUCCGUCCUCCGGGUCUUGCACCUUCGGUCCCGCGCGUGGGAAAGCGCGUCCUCCAACCAACCCAGCACUGAACAAAGUGGCCUGAAGCAUCAUCAAUAAAAUGGCAGCGCGUCUGCACACUCAUUGA